AGCAGCCGCGGUAAUUCCAGCUCCAAUAGCGUAUAUUAAGGUUGUUGCAGUUAAAAAACUCGUAGUUGAAUUUCGGGAUCAAAGGAUCGGUCAUGCCUUGGUAUGUACUGGUUUUAUUGGUUCUCACCUUCUAAAGAACCAUAAUGUCAUUCAUUUGAUGUUAUGGGGAAUUAGGGCUGUUACCUUGAAAAAAUUUAGAGUGUUUAAAGCAGGCUUACGCUUGAAUACAUUAGCAUGGAAUAAUGAAAUAGGACAUCAGAUUCUAUUUUGUUGGUUUCUAGGAUCGAUGUAAUGAUUAAUAGGGAUAGUUGGGGGCAUUAGUAUUCAAUUGUCAGAGGUGAAAUUCUUGGAUUUAUUGAAGACUAACUACUGCGAAAGCAUUUGCCAAGGAUGUUUUCAUUAAUCAAGAACGAAAGUUAGGGGAUCGAAGACGAUCAGAUACCGUCGUAGUCUUAACCAUAAACUAUGCCGACUAGGGAUCGGAUGAUGUUAAUUUUAUAAUGACUCAUUCGGCACCUUA
rnacentral:rRNA from 1 species